rnacentral:pre_miRNA from 15 species
CUCCCACGCACACACACACGCGCAUAAUGUUUGAAAUUUUGCACACAUUUACAAUAAUUGUAAAUGUGUUGAAAAUCGUUUGCACAACUGUGA